rnacentral:rRNA from 1 species
UACGAAGGGGGCUAGCGUUGCUCGGAAUGACUGGGCGUAAAGGGCGCGUAGGCGGUUUGUCCAGUCAGAUGUGAAAUUCCUGGGCUUAACCUGGGGGCUGCAUUUGAUACGUGCAGACUUGAGUGAGGAAGAGGGUUGUGGAAUUCCCAGUGUAGAGGUGAAAUUCGUAGAUAUUGGGAAGAACACCGGUGGCGAAGGCGGCAGCCUGGUCCUUGACUGACGCUGAGGCGCGAAAGCGUGGGGAGCAAACAGG